GACGAACGCUGGCGGCGCGCCUAACACAUGCAAGUCGAACGGAAAGGCCUGCUUUCCCUUGUGGAUUGCGGGUACUCGAGUGGCGAACGGGUGAGUAACACGUGAGUGAUCUGCCCCCAACUUGGGUAUAAGCCUGGGAAACUGGGUCUAAUUCCCGAUAGGACUGCAGGGUGGUGCCUGUGGUGGAAAACGAUUUUCUAGUGGUUGGGGAUGAGCUCGCGGCCUAUCAGCUUGUUGGUGGGGUAAUGGCCUACCAAGGCGGCGACGGGUAGCCGGCCUGAGAGGGUGGACGGCCACAUUGGGACUGAGAUACGGCCCAGACUCCUACGGGAGGCAGCAGUGGGGAAUAUUGCACAAUGGGCGGAAGCCUGAUGCAGCGACGCCGCGUGGGGGAUGACGGCCUUCGGGCUGUAAACUCCUUUCGACCGCGAGGAAGCCACCUGGUUGGAAGGGUGGUGACGGUAGUGGUAGAAGAAGCACCGGCUAACUACGUG
rnacentral:rRNA from 1 species